UACGGAGGGAGCUAGCGUUGUUCGGAAUUACUGGGCGUAAAGCGCGCGUAGGCGGCUUUGUAAGUUAGAGGUGAAAGCCCGGGGCUCAACCCCGGAACUGCCUUUAAAACUGCAUCGCUUGAAUCCGGGAGAGGUGAGUGGAAUUCCGAGUGUAGAGGUGAAAUUCGUAGAUAUUCGGAAGAACACCAGUGGCGAAGGCGGCUCACUGGCUCGGUACUGACGCUGAGGUGCGAAAGCGUGGGGAGCAAACAGG
rnacentral:rRNA from 1 species